GCUGGGCAUAGGGUGCAUGCCUGUAAUCCCAGUAACUCUGGAGGCUGAGACAGGAGGAUCGCAAGGUUAAGACCCGCUUCAGCAAUUUAGCUAAACCCUCAGCAACUUAGUGAGGCCCUGUCUCAA
rnacentral:sRNA from 1 species